UGGACUUUAAGAGUGCAUUUUCCCAUUUGCUGUGGACAGGACCAUAAGAAAACACUCCCUCUAGGUUUUCUGUGUGCUAUUUGCUAGCAAUCAACUUGUUGGGAACAUUU
rnacentral:snoRNA from 1 species